rnacentral:rRNA from 1 species
AUUGAACGCUGGCGGCAUGCCUUACACAUGCAAGUCGAACGGUAACGGGCCUUCGGGUGCCGACGAGUGGCGAACGGGUGAGUAAUGUAUCGGAACGUACCUUUCAGUGGGGGAUAACGUAGCGAAAGUUACGCUAAUACCGCAUAUUCUGUGAGCAGGAAAGCAGGGGAUCGCAAGACCUUGCGCUGAUUGAGCGGCCGAUAUCAGAUUAGCUAGUUGGUGAGGUAAAGGCUCACCAAGGCGACGAUCUGUAGCGGGUCUGAGAGGAUGAUCCGCCGCACUGGAACUGAGACACGGUCCAGGCUCCUACGGGAGGCAGCAGUGGGGAAUUUUGGACAAUGGGGGCAACCCUGAUCCAGCCAUGCCGCGUGAGUGAAGAAGGCCUUCGGGUUGUAAAGCUCUUUCGGCCGGGAAGAAAUCGUAUCAGCUAAUACCUGGUGCGGAUGACGGUACCGGCAUAAGAAGCACCGGCUAACUACGUGCCAGCAGCCGCCGCCGUAA